UCUCAUAGGUGAGCAAAGAUAGUAGUUUCUUGAGAUGGUAUCUACUCCUGGUGAAGAUGCUGUGAA
rnacentral:pre_miRNA from 1 species